GAUGAACGCUGGCGGCGUGCCUAAUACAUGCAAGUCGAGCGAACAGACGAGGAGCUUGCUCCUCUGACGUUAGCGGCGGACGGGUGAGUAACACGUGGAUAACCUACCUAUAAGACUGGGAUAACUUCGGGAAACCGGAGCUAAUACCGGAUAAUAUAUUGAACCGCAUGGUUCAAUAGUGAACGACGGUUUUGCUGUCACUUAUAGAUGGAUCCGCGCCGCAUUAGCUAGUUGGUAAGGUAACGGCUUACCAAGGCAACGAUGCGUAGCCGACCUGAGAGGGUGAUCGGCCACACUGGAACUGAGACACGGUCCAGACUCCUACGGGAGGCAGCAGUAGGGAAUCUUCCGCAAUGGGCGAAAGCUUGACGGAGCAACGCCGCGUGAGUGAUGAAGGUCUUCGGAUCGUAAAACUCUGGUAUUAGGGAAGAACAAAUGUGUAAGUAACUAUGCACGUCUUGACGGUACCUGAUCAGAAAGCCACGGCUAACUACGUG
rnacentral:rRNA from 1 species